rnacentral:tRNA from 1 species
GCGGUCGUAGCUCAGCUGGAUAGAGCACCAGACUUCGAAUCUGGUGGUCGCGCGUUCGAAUCGCGACGGCCGCA